ACACAUGCAGCGCUUUCCAGUUACAACUAGGCGUUUGCUUUCACCUCUGCUUGUUGCUAACGCUCUAGGUUCAAAGAAUGUGUGUAACAUUUAUAGAAGAAACCUAACUCUGUACUUGUAUCAUUACGUUAUGCAAACACACUUGAAGCCUUGUACACAGGAACGCCUUAGGGACAACUGACCCUCUUGUAUUCCUAUUUUUCUCCUCUUAUUUUCAGAUAGGAUAGUUAGCUGAAUAUCCUGAAAGGGUCCACCUCUGCCAUGGAAAUUUGAAAGCUGCUAUAUGGACCUUACUGUCAGACAAAUCACAUUUACCUCUGGCUGAGUGGAGGAGAACAGAGUGAUGUUUCUAUACUCAGAACAUAAAAUGACACCUCUUGAGAUGCAGGUGCCCAGAGAUUUGUAUGACCCUAACUGGAGUGCUCAGUUGACAAAAUAGCACCAGUUGUUGAGGACCAAGUUUCCCAGAAACAAAUAAUUUAAAGGCCAAUUGAAACCAGAAAAUACAUUUUUGGUAAUAAUUUGACGAAGCCAGUUGUAGAGUUUUAACAUGAGACAGUUAGGGAGUGAGAGUUUACAUUUUGCUGGAAUCUUGUUACAGGUCGAUUGUGAACCAAGUUCUACAACUUAAAUUAAUAAUUCUGGACUCCGCAUUCCUGAUGGAAUCCAUCGCCAUGAGGGUAUGAGAGAAGAGGCCAGUUUCCCUUUUAAUGCUGAGCACUAAGCAAAGGAGCUACUGGUACAAUUUUUCACAUCUUUGGUAUGUCGCGGCCGGAGAUCAAAACCAUGAACUCCCGCACUCGAAGCGGACACUCUAUCACUAGGAAAUUGAGGCAAUGAGGAUAGAUAUUAACUUGGAAGUCCUUGCGAUAUUAGAAUAUUAGAUGUUGUAUGUCUGCAUAAAACAGCCAAGAAACACAAAAUUGUAUGGUGACAAUAUUUUAUGAUUCUGUUAUAUUUCAUUUUCAUACAAAUUUUCAGGUACAUGUAUAUUCUCUGGUUACAGAUUUGCAAGAGCAGCCAGUGUCCAAGGAAACCCACAGCCAUUCUAAAUAUAGGAACAACGCAAUCAGACAAGUUGGCAAGAUCUCACAUUCAAGAGUGGUGACAUUCUGCCCAAGAUUCAAGUCUGGAGAUUCAGUUGGCUGAUUUUAUAAUCUUUUUUUUUUUUAUUAAUGUUUAAAAAUGACAUUGACUUAAGACUGCAUGUAUAUUGUUUUCAGUCAAAGGCUUUUCUAUUCAACACAUUAUGAUCUGGAAAAAAUCAAUAUUGGAGACAAGUAUGUAUAACAAAAUGAAAGAAAGAAAAAGGUUUUUAUGUUACAAAGAUUUUUUUUUAAAUACGUACUAAGUGACAUUAUCAAAGAGGAUACUACAUGAGUGUCUUUUCAUAUUAAAUGAAGUUAUUAAACGAGCUUAAUAAAACAAUAAAAUGUGAGGCUCUGCUGAGCAUUGUAAUAAUUUUAUACAACGAGUUUAAUAAAGUCAGUGUGGAAAGUCACAAAUGUAAUAUUCUUUUUAUCACAUGUUAGCUUUUCCUGCCGAAACACAGAAAUUCUACUUUCUUCAACUAUUAUAAACAAGUCAAUUUGACCAACGUCUCCUAUACUAAAAGUGACGUCGACGUCAAAGCUUUAUUACACUAGUGUAUUAUCAUUUUUAUGUAAUGGCUUUAUUUCUCUCCCACAACUUCAAACAUGUGAUAAAUGUCUUUUAAAUAUACAAGACUACAGUAAUUGCUUUUUUAAAAGUUUUCAGAAAGUGCAAAAAGAAACCCCUUUUUCAACCUGAAGAUAUGUUACAACAAUUUAAAGGACUUUUACAAAGAAAAUCAUUAUUUAUGUCACAAGUUACAUACCGGUAGUUCCUAGCUAUAUGACUUACUUUUACUUUCAACUGUAUUGCAUGACUUUUGUAAAUUUUAGCAGUUGAGUCAUUACCACAAAAAUAUUGUAACUGA